UCCCAGACUCCUACGGGAGGCAGCAGUGAGGAAUAUUGGUCAAUGGGCGGAAGCCUGAACCAGCCAAGUCGCGUGAGGGAUUAAGGCCCUGUGGGUCGUAAACCUCUUUUGCCGGGGAGCAGAGGUCCGGACGUGUCCGGGCCGGGAGAGUACCCGGAGAAAAAGCAUCGGCUAACUCCGUGCCAGCAGCCGCGGUAAUACGGAGGAUGCGAGCGUUAUCCGGAUUUAUUGGGUUUAAAGGGUGCGCAGGCGGCCCGGCAAGCCGGCGGUCAAAUCGCGGGGCUCAACCCCGCCCAACCGUCGGAACUGCCGGGCUAGAGUGGGCGAGAAGUGCGCGGAAUGCGUGGUGUAGCGGUGAAAUGCAUAGAUAUCACGCAGAACUCCGAUUGCGAAGGCAGCAUACCGGCGCCCAACUGACGCUGAAGCACGAAAGCGUGGGUAUCGAACAGGAUUAGAUACCCUCGUAC
rnacentral:rRNA from 1 species